UCCUGACUGCACUUGCAGACUCACCCACGACAGGAGAAUGACAUG
rnacentral:ncRNA from 1 species